GCGCGCGGGAGGAUCACGAAGGGACCGGGGUGGGAGCGGGCAGCGUCUGGGGACAGCGUGUUGGGCUGUGGGGAGGUUACCGAAAGGAAACGGGCCGAGUCCAGUUGUUUGAGCGGUUUUCUCCUUCCACGAGCGUGUGUGAAAAAGCGCGGAGUUCGGUGGAGGGCAGCUGCCAGGACUGCCUCCUGGACUGGGUGCGGUAAGGCCUUAGGGAUGCAUUCAGAUGUAGGGUGCCUUAUUUUGGGCCGAGAAAGCUGUCAAGUGAAAGAUCCAAGGGGAAAGGUAAUUGUACAUUUUUUCAUCCUACAUCUCAAGAGACCAAGGGACCUAAGUAAAUUGAUCUACUUGCCAAUGACUGUAAGAAAGACAAAGAAGUUGUAAAAACAUCCAAAUGAUGUUAAACAUAAAUUAGCUCAGAAUAGUUUGCAGAAGAUAAACUACCAGCGUCAAAGCAUGCAUUAAAAACUGGAAAGAAAUUAAAAGUGUGGUAUUGAAAGAUGUACAACUGACUUUGGAAAAAGGAUUCCUCUCUAAUUGGUGUUUGUAAGUGAUCGAAAUAAACAUUUUUAAACUAUCAUUUGUGGAAUCAUUGCUACAUACUAGGCAAUUGAAGACCUCCACUUUCACCAUCACCCUAUGAGUUGUCUUUUAUGAUCCUAUUUUACAGGUGAAAAAACUAAGGUCCAUUGAAAUCAAUUUUUUUUUUUUUUUUUUUUUUUUUUGAGAUGGAGUCUCACUUUGUCGCCCAGGCCGGAGUGCAGUGGCGCGAUCUCGGCUCACUGCAACCUCCACCCCUGGAUUCGUGCGAUUCCUCUGCCUCAGCCUCCCCAGUAGCUGGGAUUACAGGUGCCCACCACCACACCCAGCUGAUUUUUUGUAUUUUUUAGUAGAGACGGAUUUCACCAUGUUGGUCAGGCUGGUCUAAAACUCCUGACCUCAAGCAGUCCACCCUCUUCAGCCUCCCAAAGUGCUGGGAUUACAGGCAUGAGCCACCAUGCCUGGCCUGAAAUCAAAUUAAUUUCCUAAAACUACACAGCUGACCAGGCACGGUGGCUCACACCUGUAAUCCCAGCACUUUGGGAGGCCUAGGCAGGAGGAUUGCUGGAACCCAGGAAUUCGAGACCAGCCCUGGGCAACAUAGGGAGAUCCCAUCUUUACAAAAAAAUUUAAAAAUUAGUCAGGUGUGGUGGCAUGCACCUGUAGUCCCAGCUACUCAUGAGCCUGAGGUGGGAGGAUGGCUUUAGUCCAGCAGGUUGAGGCUACAGUGAGCUGUGAUCACACCACUGCACUCCAGUCUGGGCAACAGAGUGAGAUCCUCUCUCUAAAAAAUAAAAAAUGAGAAACACUACUCAGCAGAGUAAGUGUAAAAGUUACAGCAGAAUUAGAAAGUCACAAUUUUGCAACCCCAAUGUAAUCAUUGAUUGAGGCAAAUAAAUCACUGGAUAUAUUUUUGUCGAGUAAAGAAUAUCAGCCAGGCACAGUGGCUCACGCCUGUAAUCCCAGCACUUUGGGAGGCCGAGGUGAGUGGGAUCACUUGACGUCAGGAGUCUGAGACCAGCCUGGCCAACGUGGUGAAACCCUGUCUCUACUAAAAAUACAAAAAUUAGCUGGAUGUGGUGGUGUACGCUUGUAUUCUCAGCUACUUGGAAGGCUAAGGCAGGAGAAUUGCUUGAACCCCAGAGGCAAAGGUUGCAGUGAGCCAAGAUUGUGCCACUGUACUCUAGCCUGGGCAACAGAGCAAGACUCUAUCUCAAAAGAAAAAAAAAAAAAGAAUACCCACAUGGUAAUUUUCUUAGUCUAUCUGAGCUGCUUUAGCAAAAAUACCAUAAAGUUUGUGGUUUAUAAACAACAAAUGUUUAUUUCUCACAGUUCUGAAGGCUGGGAAGUCCAAAUCAGGUGCAAGCAGAUCCAGUGUCUGGUGAGGACCCAUUUCUCAUAGAUGGUGCCUUCUUGCUUUGUUCUCACAUAGUAGAAGGGGCCAAACAAGCUUCCUGGGGCCUCUUUCAUAAAGGCACUAAUCCCAUUCAUGAGGGCCCCACUCUCAUGAUCUAAUCACCUGCAAAAGUCCCCACCUCUUAAUACUAUCACAAUGGAGGUUAGAUUUCAAGGUAUGAAUUUAGGGGGAACACAAACAUCUAAACCGUAGCGGUAACAAUCCUCUACAAUGUAACCCUAUACAGAUUACAGUCACAAUGGAUUGGUUGGCUGUUACGCCCUUGCCCAAGUGAUCAAACAUAGACUCAACCAAUAGCGGACAUCCUGAAUACCAUGUGCUUCCUAAUGUAAGGCAACAAGAGGUACCCACACCACCUAUGUUGUAUUCUGCCAAAGAUGUUUAGCAGUCACACAGGCCCAGAAUGUGGGACCUUCUAGAAGAUUACUGAUUGGGGCUUUUCAAAGGGUAUCAAUAUUCAUGUUUGUUCAUGAAAAACAAAGCAAAACAAGGCAGGGUAUUGUUCUAUAUUAAAGAGACAUAGCAACCACAAGUAAUGCACAAACUUUGUCUGACUCCUGGAUUAAAAAAUAAUAUGAAACCGCACAGUAUUUUAUAACACACAGUUGUAAAAUACAUUUGAGAAGAUUAGAAAUUAAAAUAUUGACAGUGUAUUAGAUGUUGGAUUCAAGUUAAUUUUCUUAGGUAUGACAAGUAUUUAUGGAUAAAAUGUCAUGAUAUAUACAAAUUAUUUUUAAACGGCUCAACAACAAAAAUUAUGUUCAUAUGAUUUAAUAGCAACAUACACACACAUGUUGAUCUAUCUCCGUAUGUAUAUAUGCAUAUAUACACGCACACAGGAGAGGGUAGUGACAAAAAUGAUAAAAAUUGGUGAACGUAGGUGAGGAAUAUACAGUUUCCAUUGCAUUGUCUUUUUAGCUUUCUGUAGGUUUUUUAAUUUUCAAAAUGAAAAGGUAAAAUGGAACAAACCAACCCAGCUGGUGAGUGGCAAGUCAGCAGGUCAAUCAAGUUCUAAAGCUGUCUAUAAGUAAGCAGCCAUGGUGUGAGUAAAAACUGAAAAUUAAAAAAUAAAUUUAAGAAGUUCUAAAGCUGGUAUUUGACUCACAUUAUACCACCACCUCCACAUCUGAGAAAAGUAAGAAAAGUACUAAUGUCAGUAGCAGAUUAAUAAAAUACAGCUUAGUCAUAAUUAAUAUUUAAACCAACAUUCCUUACCUAUGAAGACAGUCACACCAAAGUUAUUAGGAUGCACAUUUAAAGGACUGCUCUAUGACAUUCUAGGUAGGGACUGGAAGGGCAGGAGGAGGAAGAGCCAUGUGUAGAUUGAAAAAGACUCCAAGAUGAUUAUUGCACUGCCCCCAUCAAGUGAGAACCAAUGAUUCACUUCCCGGAAUAGCAACACGAUGGUAGUUAUUUGAUGAAAGUCAGAUAGAGAGGAUAACAUGGAGGCACCUACAAAGAUGAAGGAUGAGUUGGAGAGAUAAACAUCCUAGGUGUGUUUCAAACAGUGAAAAAGCAAGGCUAGAAGCAGAAGAUAUUAAUUCUUAGUUCUAGAAUCUUCUAUCAUGAUCUGUGUAGUAUUACCAAUCCUCUGCUUCCUUGACUGUAAAUUAGAGAUGGACAAUUAUCCUGGCCCCACCACCUACAAAUUUAAGUGGUCAUUAUCUCCUUUCCCCAAUUUUGGGGCACCUAAUCAAGUAUAUUUGAUUUCUUUUCUUUUUUUUUUUUUUUUUUUUUGAGACGGAGUCUUGCUCUGACACCCAGGCUGGAGUGCAGUGGCCCAAUCUCGGCUCACUGCAAGCUCAGCCUCCUGGGUUCACGCCAUUCUCCUGCCUCAGCCUUCCAAGUAGCUGGGACUACAGGCACCAGCCACCAUGCCCAGCUAAUUUUUGUAUUUUUAGUAGAGACAGGGUUUCACCAUGUUAGCCAGGGUGGUCUCGAUCUCCUGACCUUCUGAUCCGCCUGCCUCAGCCUCCCAAAGUGCUGGGAUUACAGGUGUGAUCCACCUUUUAAUUACAAACCAAGAAAAGAGGGACAGUUGAUGUAGUUAACCAGAAAGAGGUGGGAGGCUCCAUUUUCAGUACUCUAUUUCCUUACUGUAAGAAAGUAAUUUCACUUGUCUUCAUUUGUUUAUUCAUCAAACACAUAUUGAGCACCUACUAUGUCCCAGGUACUGUGCUAAGAUCUGGUUAUACUGCAGUGGGUGAGAUGGAGCAUGGUCAUAAUCCCUCCCUGCACGAAGCUUACAGACUAGUGAG
rnacentral:lncRNA from 10 species